rnacentral:tRNA from 1 species
GGGCUGGGGCUGAGUGGCAGAGUACUUGCCUAGAGUGCAUGAGGCACUGGGUUCGAUUCUCAGCACCACA